UACGUAGGGGGGCAAGCGUUGUCCGGAAUCACUGGGCGUAAAGCGCGCGCAGGCGGUCAUCUACGUCUGGGGUGAAAGCCCGGAGCUCAACUCCGGGACUGCCUUGGAUACGGGAUGACUUGAGGAUCGGAGAGGCAAGGGGAAUUCCACGUGUAGCGGUGAAAUGCGUAGAGAUGUGGAGGAACACCUGUGGCGAAGGCGCCUUGCUGGCCGAUUUCUGACGCUGAGGCGCGAAAGCGUGGGGAGCAAACAGG
rnacentral:rRNA from 1 species